GGGGAAUUUUCCGCAAUGGGCGAAAGCCUGACGGAGCAAUACCGCGUGAGGGAGGAAGGCUCUUGGGUUGUAAACCUCUUUUCUCAGGGAAGAAGCAAGUGACGGUACCUGAGGAAUCAGCAUCGGCUAACUCCGUGCCAGCAGCCGCGGUAAUACGGAGGAUGCAAGCGUUAUCCGGAAUGAUUGGGCGUAAAGCGUCCGCAGGUGGUGAGACAAGCCUGCUGUUAAAGGGCGGGGCUCAACCCCAGAAUUGCGGUGUGUAGCGCUAGAGGGCGGUAGGGGCAGAGGGAAUUCCUGGUGUAGCGGUGAAAUGCGUAGAGAUCAGGAAGAACACCGGUGGCGAAAGCGCUCUGCUAGACCGUGACUGACACUGAGGGACGAAAGCUAGGGGAGCGAAUGGGAUUAGAUACCCCAGUAGUCCUAGCCGUAAACGAUGGAUACUAGGUGUUGCACGUAUCGACCCGAGCAGUGCCGUAGCUAACGCGUUAAGUAUCCCGCCUGGGGAGUACGCCGGCAACGGUGAAACUCAAAGGAAUUGACGGGGGCCCGCACAAGCGGUGGAGUAUGUGGUUUAAUUCGAUGCAACGCGAAGAACCUUACCAGGGCUUGACAUGUCGCGAAUGCCGGGGAAACUUGGCAGUGCCUUCGGGAGCGCGAACACAGGUGGUGCAUGGCUGUCGUCAGCUCGUGUCGUGAGAUGUUGGGUUAAGUCCCGCAACGAGCGCAACCCUCGUGUUUAGUUGCCAGCAUUCAGUUGGGCACUCUAGAGAGACUGCCGGUGACAAACCGGAGGAAGGUGGGGAUGACGUCAAGUCAGCAUGCCCCUUACGCCCUGGGCUACACACGUACUACAAUGCGGCGGACAAAGGGCAGCAAGUUAGCGAUGACAAGCAAAUCCCACAAACCGACGCUCAGUUCAGAUUGCAGGCUGCAACUCGCCUGCAUGAAGGCGGAAUCGCUAGUAAUCGCAGGUCAGCAAUACUGCGGUGAAUACGUUCCCGGGCCUUGUACACACCGCCCGUCACACCAUGGAAGCUGGCAGUGCCCGAAGUCGUUACCCCAACCGUGAGGAGGGGGACGCCGAAGGUGUGGCUGGUGACUGGGGUGAAGUCGUAACAAGGUAGCCGUACCGGAAGGUGUGGCUGGAUCACCUCCUU
rnacentral:rRNA from 1 species